GUUUUUAGCAGCAACUAGUUUUAGAGCAGCGGAUGAUGUUAAUGGAUUUGUUGGUCGAGUAUCAAGGUCGAGUAUGGGCUCGAGUACUUCAAUUGGUUUAUCAACUUGAUCUUCAUUGAGACUGAAAUCUUCCCCAUCUUGGUAUGCACUGUCCUCAGUGACUGACUUGGGUCUCUCUCUAGUGGAUUACUCUCUUCCACUCCUUAUGGUGAUAGCAUGAACAUUAGCAUACUCCUUGGGAUUCUGAAUUGACUUCCCUGAAAGUCCUGUAACUUUGGGAGCAGAGGUAGAUGCGGAUUGUCCUUCCAAGUAUCUGACUUUGGAAUUCAACGCCUCCACUUUUGCAUUCAGGUCAUUGUAGUUGCAGUCUACCUUAUGGUGCAAUUCAGAUAUCUUUUUAGCAAUCUCAAUGGAGCUAGAUACUUGUCCCUGUAGCAGCUAUUGUAGCAUUUGUUUCAUGUCAGCGUCAGGAGCAGCAUGACCUUGGUGUUGCUGAA
rnacentral:sRNA from 1 species